rnacentral:lncRNA from 1 species
GCAGUAAACACCUUUUCUCUUUAUGGCCAAGUGCUCCACAUCUAUCACAAGCACUUGGAAUCCAAGAAUACUCCACCUCCACUAAAAAGAUAUUGCCUUGCUUGUCAUCAAGCGCAAUUAGCUUCGGAAAUGGCUUAUCUAACUCAACUUCAACUAAAAUUUUUGCUUCUCCCAUAUUUGCUGGAUCUAAGCGAGGCUUGUGCGUAAGCAUUGGCUCUCCCAAACCCGAUGCUAUGUGACUAAUGCCUAACCUAGAAAAACAUGAAUCUAGAAUAUUUUUGAGGAUGACCCACACUGGUAGCGUAGAAAUCUCUGGGAUUUUGAAAGAGGUUACCGGAUUCCAAGGAGACACAAAGAGGAGGCAAUCAUCAACAUGCCACACACCUCGCUGGAUAACCCAUUUAAGAGUAUUUUCAUGAGGAAUAUGGAACAAAAACGAAGAGUCCCCUAACUUUCGGCAGGUUAUCCUACAUUCUCGACCCCAUAACCUAUUCAACACUGCAUGAAUAAGACCUCCAGGCGGGCUGGAACACCCAUAACCUUUGCUGUUUUUUUUUGCCUUAAGAAAAAAUCAUAGUUAGAUUUCUAGUUGUACUUCUCAAUUAAUAUAAGUAAUGCUCA